GACUGGUGGAAUCAUCUUGAAAAGAUAGGCUUCUCGCCGGACGACCUUCGCCUUCGCGAUCUGAUGGAUUCCACCGACUUCGGCGAAUCCAUCCGCCACGUCUCCGCCUUCGCCGCCCUCGCCGAAUACGCCGAGUCCAGCCCGAAGAACGAGAUGGACUACAAAAUGACCGGCGGAAAUUCGAGGCUCGCGGAAGAGUUGGCAAAUAGAAUUGGUUUUAAGAACAUACGAUACGGAACGCCCGUGACUCAAGUCACUCAGAAAGCGGGAAAGGUGUUAGUCGAAUUUCCCCCCAACCUAAACGCCA
rnacentral:misc_RNA from 1 species